AGGCAAGAUGUUGGCAUAGCUGUUGCAUCUGAAACCAGUUGUGCCAACCUAUUGCCAUC
rnacentral:pre_miRNA from 1 species